rnacentral:rRNA from 1 species
UACAGAGGGUGCGAGCGUUGUUCGGAAUUACUGGGCGUAAAGGGCGCGUAGGCGGUCAGCACAAGUCAGUUGUGAAAUCUCCGGGCUUAACUCGGAAAGGUCAACUGAUACUGUGCGACUAGAGUGCGGAAGGGGCAACUGGAAUUCUCGGUGUAGCGGUGAAAUGCGUAGAUAUCGAGAGGAACACCUGCGGCGAAGGCGGGUUGCUGGGCCGACACUGACGCUGAUGCGCGAAAGCGUGGGUAGCAAACAGG